GACGAACGCUGGCGGCGUGCCUAAUACAUGCAAGUCGAACGCAGUGGGGACGGGUGGGUAACCCGUGGGUAACCUCCCAUCAGAGGGGAUACCACUUGGAAACAGGUGCUAAACCGAUACGGAUGGCUGGACCCGCGGGGAAUUAGCUAGUUGGUGCGGUAACGGCUCACCAAGGCCACGAUGCCUAGCUGACCUGAGAGGGUGAUCGGCCACACUGGGACUGAGACACGGCCCAGACGCCUACGGGAGGCAGCAGUAGGGAAUCUUGGGCAAUGGACGAAAGUCUGACCGAGCAACGCCGCGUGAGUGAAGAAGGUUUUCGGAUUGUAAAACUCUGUUGUUAGAGAAGCGGUAUCUAACCAGAAAGCCACGGCUAACUACGUGCCAGCAGCCGCGGUAAUAC
rnacentral:rRNA from 1 species